GCGCAGCGCCACCUGGGCCGCCAUGACCCGCUGCCGCUCGAUGAUGAGGAUGCACUUCUCGCAGGUGCAGUCUUUGAAGCGGCAGUAGCGCUUGUGGCCCUUGAGCCAGGACAGCACGCCGUGGUUGCGGCAGCGCGCGCACUUCGGCGUGCGCUGCAGGGGCGCCCGCGGCGGCUGCGACACCGGGCCGCCCAUAUACAGGCCUGAUUUGGCAGCGCCGACCCCAAGGCCGCCUUCAUUCUCACACUUGGCCACAGAUACACCGCUCCGAGAGAACCGGAGUCUACCGGAGAGUUCUGCGGAAGACAAUAUUAGAAAACCUCUGGUCCAAGGAUGACAAUCCAUUUUGCAGGCUACUUAACAGGGGAAACCAGUCCCUCCUCUCUGGCGCUGAGUUUCUCUACCCUCAUCCCCACGUUUUAAUAAAAGUCUCUGUUCUGAAAGACUGA